AUUGAACGCUGGCGGCAGGCUUAACACAUGCAAGUCGAGCGGGGGAAGGUAGCUUGCUACCGGACCUAGCGGCGGACGGGUGAGUAAUGCUUAGGAACCUGCCUAUUAGUGGGGGACAACACCUCGAAAGGGAUGCUAAUACCGCAUACGUCCUACGGGAGAAAGCAGGGGAUCUUCGGACCUUGCGCUAAUAGAUGAGCCUAAGUCGGAUUAGCUAGUUGGUGGGGUAAAGGCCUACCAAGGCGACGAUCUGUAGCGGGUCUGAGAGGAUGAGCCGCCACACUGGAACUGAGCCGCGGCCCAGACUCCUACGGGAGGCAGCAGUGGUGAAAAUUGGACAAUGGGGGGAACCCUGAUCCAGCCAUGCCGCGUGUGUGCAGAAGGCCUUAUGGUUGUAAAGCACUUUAGGCGAGGAGGAGGCUACUCUAGUUAAUACCUAGGGAUAGUGGACGUUACUCGCAGAAUAAGCACCGGCUAACUCUGUGCCAGCAGCCGCCGUAA
rnacentral:rRNA from 1 species